rnacentral:rRNA from 1 species
AUUGAACGCUGGCGGCAGGCUUAACACAUGCAAGUCGAGCGGGGGGAGGUAGCUUGCUACCUAACCUAGCGGCGGACGGGUGAGUAAUGCUUAGGAAUCUGCCUACUAGUGGGGGACAACAUUUCGAAAGGGAUGCUAAUACCGCAUACGCCCUAAGGGGGAAAGCAGGGGAUCUUCGGACCUCGCGCUAAUAGAUGAGCCUAAGUCGGAUUAGCUAGUUGGUGGGGUAAAGGCCUACCAAGGCGACGAUCUGUAGCGGGUCUGAGAGGAUGAUCCGCCACACUGGGACUGAGACACGGCCCAGACUCCUACGGGAGGCAGCAGUGGGGAAUAUUGGACAAUGGGGGGAACCCUGAUCCAGCCAUGCCGCGUGUGUGAAGAAGGCCUUUUGGUUGUAAAGCACUUUAAGCGAGGAGGAGGCUACCGAGAUUAAUACUCUUGGAUAGUGGACGUUACUCGCAGAAUAAGCACCGGCUAACUCUGUGCCAGCCGCCGCAGUAACAC